rnacentral:rRNA from 1 species
GGGGGAUAUUGCACAAUGGAGGAAACUCUGAUGCAGCAACGCCGCGUGAGGGAAGAAGGUCUUCGGAUUGUAAACCUUUGUCCUUGGUGACGAUAAUGACGGUAGCCAAGGAGGAAGCUCCGGCUAACUACGUGCCAGCAGCCGCGGUAAUACGUAGGGAGCGAGCGUUGUCCGGAUUUACUGGGUGUAAAGGGUGCGUAGGCGGCUUUGCAAGUCAGGUGUGAAAACUAUCGGCUUAACUGAUAGACUGCAUUUGAAACUGUGGAGCUUGAGUGAAGUAGAGGUAGGCGGAAUUCCCGGUGUAGCGGUGAAAUGCGUAGAGAUCGGGAGGAACACCAGUGGCGAAGGCGGCCUACUGGGCUUUAACUGACGCUGAAGCACGAAAGCAUGGGUAGCAAAC